GGACUAAUAUGUUGGUCGUGCCUCGGUACGUACUGGCUUGUUGGUUUCUACCUUCUGACGAACCAUGAUGUCAUUAAUUUGGUGUCUUGGGGAAUCAGGACUGUUACUUUGAAAAAAUUAGAGUGUUUAAAGCAGGCUCACGCUUGAAUACAUUAGCAUGGAAUAAUGGAAUAGGACUGUGGUCCCGUUUUGUUGGUUUUCAGGACCGCGGUA
rnacentral:rRNA from 1 species